CUUGCAUGGGGGAACCUGACCGCCUGCCGCGUGAGUGAUGAAGGCCUUCGGGUUGUAAAGCUCUUUUGUGUGGGAAGAUAAUGACUGUACCACAAGAAUAAGCCCCGGCUAACUUCGUGCCAGCAGCCGCGGUAAUACGAAGGGGGCUAGCGUUGUUCGGAAUUACUGGGCGUAAAGGGUGCGUAGGUGGUUAUGUAAGUCAGAAGUGAAAGCCCUGGGCUCAACCCGGGAAUUGCUUUUGAAACUAUGUAGCUAGAGUUCGAGAGAGGUAAGUGGAAUAUCCAGUGUAGAGGUAAAAUUCGUAGAUAUUGGAUGGAACACCAGUGGCGAAGGCGGCUUACUGGCUCGAUACUGACACUGAGGCACGAAA
rnacentral:rRNA from 1 species